rnacentral:rRNA from 1 species
UACAGAGGGUGCAAGCGUUGUUCGGAAUUAUUGGGCGUAAAGGGAGUGUAGGCGGUUAUUUAAGUCUUCUGUGAAAGCUGCAGGCUCAGCCUGCAAAGUGCAGAGGAAACUGGAUGACUUGAGUGUCGGAGAGGAUAGGGGAAUACCCAGUGUAGAGGUGAAAUUCGUAGAGAUUGGGUGGAACACCAGUGGCGAAGGCGCCUGUCUGGCUGACAACUGACGCUGAGACUCGAAAGCAUGGGGAGCAAACAGG